GUGAAUCAUCGAAUCUUUGAACGCAAAUUGCACUCCUUGGUAUUCCGAGGAGUACACUUGCUUGAGGGUCAGUUAAAUAAAAUAUCGUUACAUCUUUUGAUGUUGCGGAUCUGGGUUUUCCGAUUUUAAGUCGGUUACCUAAAAUUAAGGAUUAUAUAAUGUGAUACGUACUAAGAUAAAAGUCGUUAAUCAUUAAUCUUUAUUACAUUACCAACUAUUAUGUUUUUAGUAGUAGGAAUGUAUAAUUUUUUGAAAAUGACCUCAAGUCAAGUGAGAAUACCCGCUGAACUUAAGCAUAUC
rnacentral:misc_RNA from 1 species